rnacentral:rRNA from 1 species
AUUGAACGCUGGCGGCAUACCUUACACAUGCAAGUCGAACGGCAGCACGGGAGCAAUCCUGGUGGCGAGUGGCGAACGGGUGAGUAAAGUAUCGGAACGUGCCCAGUCGUGGGGGAUAACGUAGCGAAAGUUACGCUAAUACCGCAUACGAUCUAUGGAUGAAAGCGGGGGAUCGCAAGACCUCGCGCGAUUGGAGCGGCCGAUAUCAGAGUAGGUAGUUGGUGGGGUAAAGGCUCACCAAGCCGACGAUCAGUAGCUGGUCUGAGAGGACGACCAGCCACACUGGGACUGAGACACGGCCCAGACUCCUACGGGAGGCAGCAGUGGGGAAUUUUGGACAAUGGGCGCAAGCCUGAUCCAGCCAUGCCGCGUGCAGGAUGAAGGCCUUCGGGUUGUAAACUGCUUUUGUACGGAACGAAAAGGUUUGGCUUAAUACGUUGAACUCAUGACGGUACCGUAAGAAUAAGCACCGGCUAACUACGUGCCAGCCGCCGCCGUAA